rnacentral:rRNA from 1 species
UACGUAGGGUGCGAGCGUUAAUCGGAAUUACUGGGCGUAAAGCGUGCGCAGGCGGUUCGCCAAGUCAGGUGUGAAAUCCCCGGGCUUAACCUGGGAAUUGCGCUUGAAACUAGCGAGCUUGAGUGUGGCAGAGGGGGGUGGAAUUCCACGUGUAGCAGUGAAAUGCGUAGAGAUGUGGAAGAACACCGAUGGCGAAGGCAGCCCCCUGGGUCAACACUGACGCUCAUGCACGAAAGCGUGGGGAGCAAACAGG